rnacentral:lncRNA from 1 species
AACUCACUUUGUUUUGAGCUGAGUCUUGGUUCACCUAACUACUAGGCUUUGAAUUUGAUGGGUCAUGUUUUGUUUUGAGUGCAUACAAGCAUGUUUCCACCUUUAAUUGUUAAUUGCAUGCUAUAUAGAUGUUGCUCAAAUGAACAUGUUUUUCACAAAAUUUCCUUCAAAUAUAUAAUGAUAGAUUUCAAGAUAUAAUUGGAUUAUCUCAAUCCCUAUUGAUAGACGAUAGAUAUAGGAAGUUUCUCGAAUGAUAAACUUCAAAUGAAAGAACAAUUCCAUUCAGACUGGGGAAUUGCUAUUCUAAAAGGGAAUGUUGAUAGGAGCAUAUUUAUGCGACUUAGUUGGCUUGUUCUUGUGCAUUUAUGUCGUGUUUCCU